rnacentral:rRNA from 1 species
CGCGUGAGGAACCUGCCUUCCAGAGGGGGACAACAGUUGGAAACGACUGCUAAUACCGCAUGAUGCAUUGAAGUCGCAUGGCUUUGAUGUCAAAGAUUUAUCGCUGGAAGAUGGCCUCGCGUCUGAUUAGCUAGUUGGUGAGGUAACGGCCCACCAAGGCGACGAUCAGUAGCCGGACUGAGAGGUUGGCCGGCCACAUUGGGACUGAGACACGGUCCAAACUCCUACGGAAGGCAGCAG